UUGGGGGCGGGGCGCGAGCGAGAGGCGGGGGAGACGCGGGUACUGCGCAAGCGCAGAGAAGGCCGCUCCCGGUAGCCGUUACUUUAACCGUCUGCGACUCAGUCUCCUGAGGCCGCGGCGGGUUCUGAUACGGCCGGUGCAUCUUCAUAAGUGCCGAGUUACCUUCACCCGCCACCUGCGCCCUGGCCAAUUCGUCCUUCCUGUGCUCGUUCGCUUAGCCGGCUUCUCGCUCAACCUGACAAGCAUUUCUGGGCAAGGUUCACAGCUAUUGGGUUUUUUUUUUUUUUCCUUCUUUGAAGUAAAACCGAAACAGACUUUGUUUUCUCGAGUGGUUUCUGUAGCGGCGCUGAGCCGGAACACCCCAGCCGCUUUCUCUCGGUGAGGGGGUGAGCUCGUAGUCAGCCCAUUUCUCACACACGGAAACUGAGGCCUGCGGAGAGGCGGCCCCAGACAGAGAUGAGGAAAGUCAGGAAGAUGCAAAUGAGGCCCAGAAAGUUUUGUGCUGAGAUUUGAAGGAGAAGGAAAAGAAGGCGAAAUGCUUACCCUUAGAGGAACAGCAGCAACAGAGAAAGUCUGAAGGAAGGGCAGGAGCCUGAAGUCCUGGUGGCCCUUAUGUUAGGGUAGGUGUGCGACUUAGUACCUGGAGAAGAAUCGGGUGGGAAUAAAGCUGUCAAACAAAUCCCCUCGACUUCUAGGGCAUUUAAUAGGACAGUCAAUAAGGACCACUAGGCAAGUGUUUGUGUUUACUGCUUCCCUGGGAACUGAGGAGGCAGCCCUGACACAAAAUAUAUAUUACUCUCUUGUAUCUUCUCCCCUUUUAUACUUUUCUAUUUUUGAUUUUAUGUUUGAAAAUUAUCAUUCUUUCACCCCCACCCUAGGACUGGAGGAUCAGUGGAUCUUUGGGGAUACCGGAUAGCUGUGGAACCCUAAGGGCCCGGUGCUAGAUGCUUGGAUAGGGUGUGAGAAAAAAUACAAAGGUUAGCUUUGGAGGAGUCCUCUCCUCUUUUUUGGCUUUUGGCAGGGUCAGUUUCUGUGGCUUCUGCGCCUCCCAGCUUCUUGGGCUAGUAGAGACUUGCCCUUGGGUUGGUGGAAUAUACACACAUUUCUUUGACACUAGAUUAAAUAAUACAGCUGGGAGGAUUUUAUGAAAUCAGAAUCCUGCACACAGGUGAAACAAACAAAGGAAGACAGUAUGAGGAACCUUUAAUUAUUAACCUGGUGUGGGUGAUUCUGAGGAAUUCAAAUUCCAGGAGAAGAGGGUUUUAUUUUAUUCGUGAACUGUUUGGGGGACCAAAUUCUGGCAGAAAUGGCACUAGCUUGUGGUCAACCAUUAGGGAUGAAUAGGAACUUGGUUAUUUAGUCCACAACUUACUUCUGAGUAUGAACACUGAACACAUAGCUCAGAGAUCUCUGGUCUGACUUGGAUAAUUCCAGUAGAGAACUCAUUACUGCACACAGCACCCUUGCUCCCUUAUUAGAGUGUUCCAACUAUAUUAACAAAAUUAAUCUUUUUGUUCCCCAGCCCUGAAACUUGGACCUCUUCUAGUAUUCUCAGUUCAUCAUCUGUCCAGUUGAGCACAUCAGCUUCACUACUCUGCCACAUCUCAGUUCCAACCCAUCAGCAUGUCCUGCUGAACUUGUCCUUUCCUGUUUUGAGGAAUGAUACUGGAAACAAGGCUGCCACCACUUCAAGACCAAAAAUCACUGCCAAGUAUGAGAGGGGUAGAGUAAUGGUAGGUGAAGAUGCUAUAAAACUUUCCUACCAUUUUGAA